rnacentral:rRNA from 1 species
GUAAGGAAUAUUGGACAAUGGCCGAAAGGCUGAUCCAGCCAUCCAGCGUGCAGGAAGAAGGCCCUAUGGGUUGUAAACUGCUUUUAUCAGGGAAUAAACCUCUGGAUUUACUCCGGAGCUGAAGGUACCUGAAGAAUAAGCACCGGCUAACUCCGUGCCAGCAGCCGCGGUAAUACGGAGGGUGCGAGCGUUAUCCGGAAUUACUGGGUUUAAAGGGUGCGUAGGCGGCUUUGUAAGUCAGGAGUGAAAGUUUGCAGCUCAACUGUAAAAUUGCUUUUGAUACUGCGAGGCUAGAAUUAGGAUGAGGUCAGCGGAAUGUGGCAUGUAGCGGUGAAAUGCAUAGAUAUGCCAUAGAACACCAAUUGCGAAGGCAGCUGGCUAGACCUGGAUUGACGCUGAGGCACGAAAGCGUGGGGAGCGAACAGGAUUAGAUACCCCUGUAGUCC